AUUGAACGCUGGCGGAAUGCUUUACACAUGCAAGUCGAGCGGCAGCGCGGGGCAACCGGGCGGCGAGCGGCGAACGGGUGAGUAAUGUAUCGGAACGUAUCCUUAAGUGGGGGACAACUAGUCGAAAGACUAGCUAAUACCGCAUACGAUCGAGAGAUGAAAGUGGGGGACCGCAAGGCCUCACGCUUUUUGGAGCGGCCGAUAUCCGAUUAGCUUGUUGGUGAGGUAAAGGCUUACCAAGGCUAUGAUCGGUAGCUGGUCUGAGAGGAUGAUCAGCCACACUGGGACUGAGACACGGCCCAGACUCCUACGGGAGGCAGCAGUGGGGAAUUUUGGACAAUGGGGGCAACCCUGAUCCAGCCAUUCCGCGUGAGUGAAGAAGGCCUGGUGUAAG
rnacentral:rRNA from 1 species